rnacentral:rRNA from 1 species
CCUACGGGGUGCUGCAGUGGGGAAUAUUGGACAAUGGGCGAAAGCCUGAUCCAGCCAUGCCGCAUGUGUGAAGAAGGCCUUCGGGUUGUAAAGCACUUUCAGUGGGGAAGAAAGCCUUGGGGCUAAUACCCUCGAGGAAGGACAUCACCCACAGAAGAAGCACCGGCUAACUCCGUGCCAGCAGCCGCGGUAAUACGGAGGGUGCGAGCGUUAAUCGGAAUUACUGGGCGUAAAGCGCGCGUAGGCGGUCUGAUAAGCCGGUUGUGAAAGCCCCGGGCUCAACCUGGGAACGGCAUCCGGAACUGUCAGGCUAGAGUGCAGGAGAGGAAGGUAGAAUUCCCGGUGUAGCGGUGAAAUGCGUAGAGAUCGGGAGGAAUACCAGUGGCGAAGGCGGCCUUCUGGACUGACACUGACGCUGAGGUGCGAAAGCGUGGGUAGCAAACAGGAUUAGAUACCCUUGUAGUC